rfam:Delta proteobacterium NaphS2 ctg_1101087565172, whole genome shotgun sequence.
UAAGUGGAGAGUUUGAUCCUGGCUCAGAACAAACGCUGGCGGCGUGCUUAACACAUGCAAGUCGAACGAGAAAUUCCCUGCUUGCAGGGAAGAGUAAAGUGGCGCACGGGUGAGUAACGCGUGGGUAACCUACCUUUGAAUUCGGAAUAGCCCGUCGAAAGGUGGAUUAAUACCGGAUACGGUUUAAGGAUCUUCGGAUUUUUAAAUUAAAGGUGACCUCUUCAUGAAAGUUGCCGUUCAUAGAUGGGCCCGCGUACCAUUAGCUUGUUGGUGGGGUAAUGGCCUACCAAGGCGACGAUGGUUAGCUGGUCUGAGAGGAUGAUCAGCCACACUGGAACUGGAACACGGUCCAGACUCCUACGGGAGGCAGCAGUGAGGAAUUUUGCGCAAUGGGGGAAACCCUGACGCAGCAACGCCGCGUGAGCGAAGAAGGCCUUCGGGUCGUAAAGCUCUGUCAAGUGGGAAAAAAAUCUUUUGAUGAUAGUUAAAGACUUGAUGGUACACUGGA